rnacentral:rRNA from 1 species
UACGUAGGCAGCAAGCGUUGUUCGGAAUUACUGGGCGUAAAGCGUGUGUAGGCGGUUGGGUAAGUAGGGGGUGAAAUCUUGCGGCUCAACUGCAAGGCUGCCUCCUAAACUGCCUGGCUGGAGCACGGUAGAGGCAGAUGGAAUUCCCGGUGUAGCGGUGGAAUGCGUAGAGAUCCGGAGGAAGACCGGUGGCGAAGGCGGUCUGCUGGGCAGUUUCUGACACUGAUGCGCGACAGCGUGGGGAGCAAACAGG